GACGUAGGGGGCCAGCGUUGCUCGGAAUCACUGGGCGUAAAGCGCACGUAGGCGGAUUGCUAAGUCAGGGGUGAAAUCCUGGAGCUCAACUCCAGAACUGCCUUUGAUACUGGCGAUCUCGAGUCCGGGAGAGGUGAGUGGAACUGCGAGUGUAGAGGUGAAAUUCGUAGAUAUUCGCAAGAACACCAGUGGCGAAGGCGGCUCACUGGCCCGGUACUGACGCUGAGGUGCGAAAGCGUGGGGAGCAAACAGG
rnacentral:rRNA from 1 species